rnacentral:sRNA from 2 species
AGAGUUGGCAGCUAGGGUUCCGGCGCGAGAAGCGUGACUGGUCCGAGAGCAGCCACCGGCGGGGGAGACAUCCCUGUCGGGUGCACGGCGGGAUAAAAGCCCGGGAGAC